GUGCCAGCCGCCGCGGGUAAUACGUAGGGUGCAAGCGUUAAUCGGAAUUACUGGGCGUAAAGCGUGCGCAGGCGGUUGUGCAAGACAGGUGUGAAAUCCCCGGGCUUAACCUGGGAACUGCACUUGUGACUGCACAGCUGGAGUACGGCGGAAGGGAAUGGAAUUCCGCGUGUAGCAGUGAAAUGCGUAGAUAUGCGGAGGAACACCGAUGGCGAAGGCAGUCCCCUGGGCCUGUACUGACGCUCAUGCACGAAAGCGUGGGGAGCAAACAGGAUUAGAUACCCUGGUAGUCCACGCCCUANACGAUGUCAACUGGUUGUUGGGAAGGUUCCUUCUCAGUAACGUAGCUAACGCGUGAAGUUGACCGCCUGGGGGAGUACGGCCGCAAGGUUGAAACUCAAAUGAAUUGACGG
rnacentral:rRNA from 1 species